GAUGAACGCUAGCUACAGGCUUAACACAUGCAAGUCGAGGGGUAACGAGAGGGAAGCUUGCUUUCCUUGUCGACGACCGGCGCACGGGUGAGUAACGCGUAUCCAACCUGCCCCCAACUAGGGAAUAACCUUGCGAAAGUAAGACUAAUACCCUAUAAUUUCCUCAGAUGUCAUCUGACGAGGAAUAAAGGUUUAUCGGUUGUGGAUGGGGAUGUGUGUGAUUAGCUUGUUGGCGGGGUAACGGCCCACCAAGGCAACGAUCAGUAGGGGUUCUGAGAGGAAGGUCCCCCACAUUGGAACUGAGACACGGUCCAAACUCCUACGGGAGGCAGCAGUGAGGAAUAUUGGUCAAUGGGCGGAAGCCUGAACCAGCCAAGUAGCGUGCAGGAUGACGGCCCUAUGGGUUGCAAACUGCUUUUAUACAGGAAUAAAGUUAGCCACGUGUGGUUAUUUGUAGGUACUGUAUGAAUAAGGACCAGCUAAUUCCGUGCCAGCCGCCGCGGUAA
rnacentral:rRNA from 1 species